rnacentral:rRNA from 1 species
AUGACAAAGGAUGCUGAGAUCAAAAAAUUAAAGGCUGUUGUUGACCAGUUAAAGCAAAUUCAUGUAGCUCAAGCCACUGUCAUUAGGAAUUUGAAGUUCAACCAUCUUAAAGAGAAGGAAAAGUUGACCUCUGAUAAGAGGACUUUGAAGAUUUGCUAUGCUGACCUGAAGAAAGAGAAGGAUGACCUGAAGAAAGAGAAGGAUAAGCUGGAUUGUUGCAUUGCUGAGCUGAUGAAAGUGAAGGAGAAGUUGACCAUGGAGAAGAGUACUCUUGCUUCCUGCAUUGUUGAGCUCAAGACAGCAGGUGAUAGCAACAAGAGGAAGCUUCACCAGAUUAAGGCUAUUUGUGAUGAGGACUAA